rfam:Hyphomicrobium sp. SCN 65-11 ABS54_C0074, whole genome shotgun sequence.
CGCAUUGGUGAACGUGACGGUGAAGUCACAUGCGCGUAAGGCAUGUGACUGACAGGGAACACGGUGAGACGCCUGCAACGUCGAAGCCGAGGCUGCGCCCGCAACUGUAAGCGGCGAGUUGACUCCAAAGAUGCCACUGAUCGUUGGCAACAAUGAUCGGGAAGGCUGGAGAGCAACGCUAGAGCCGCGAGCCAGGAGACCGACCGGCACGAGUCGCCCAUC